rnacentral:rRNA from 1 species
UACGUAGGGUGCAAGCGUUAAUCGGAAUUACUGGGCGUAAAGCGUGCGCAGGCGGCUUUGCAAGACAGAUGUGAAAUCCCCGGGCUUAACCUGGGAACUGCAUUUGUGACUGCAUGGCUGGAGUGCGGCAGAGGGGGAUGGAAUUCCGCGUGUAGCAGUGAAAUGCGUAGAUAUGCGGAGGAACACCGAUGGCGAAGGCAAUCCCCUGGGCCUGCACUGACGCUGAGGAGCGAAAGCGUGGGUAGCAAACAGG